AUUUGGAAGUGCAGUGGUGUUUACAAUUAAUCGAUCAUAGUUCCAGAUUUCCUUGCUUCUUCACUCCCACUACUUCACUUGAUUAGCUUUAG
ensembl:misc_RNA Y_RNA Y RNA